rnacentral:misc_RNA from 1 species
CCUGAGAAGCAAUGUUGUAAGAUGAUGACAAGAAGGUGUCUCACGGGGAGAUUCGAUGCAAGGACCACACAACGAUAUCCUCUCUGCGCUAAUCCAUGUUGAAAGCUGUGGUGUUUUUUCCUGUACCAACACUUUGUCCUUUGCCUUCCCCUCCUCACAAGCUAGCCACAAGGUCAUUGCUUUAAUCACAUCAUGCAUUUUAACAAAAUCUUCUGAUUUACCAGUCUCCAACAAACU